rnacentral:rRNA from 1 species
CCGGCGCACGGGUGAGUAACGCGUGGGUAACCUGCCUCAUACAGGGGGAUAACAGUUAGAAAUGACUGCUAAUACCGCAUAAGACCACAGCACCGCAUGGUGCGGGGGUAAAAACUCCGGUGGUAUGAGAUGGACCCGCGUCUGAUUAGCUAGUUGGUAAGGUAACGGCUUACCAAGGCGACGAUCAGUAGCCGACCUGAGAGGGUGACCGGCCACAUUGGGACUGAGACACGGCCCAA